rnacentral:rRNA from 1 species
GAUCAAUGCCGGUCCAGUGUAUAAUACAAACAAGUCGGGCGAACAGACGAGGAGCUUGCUCCUCUGACGUUAGCGGCGGACGGGUGAGUAACACGUGGAUAACCGACAUAUAAGACUGGGCUAACUUCGGGAAACCGGAGCUAAAACCGGGUAAUAUAUUGAACCGCAUGGUUCCAUAGUGAAAGACGGUCUUGCUAUCACUCAUAGAUGGAUCCGCGCCGCAUUAGCUAGUUGGUCCGGUAACGGCUUACCACGGCAACGAUGCGUAGCCGACCUGAGAGGGUGCACGGCCACGCUGGAUCUGAGACACGGUCCAGACUCCUACGGGAUGCAGCAGUAGGGAAUCUACCGCAAUGCGCGAAAGCCUGACGUAGCAACGCCGCGUGAGUGAUGAAGGUCUUCGCAUCGUAAAACUCUGUUAUUAGCGAAGAACGAAUGUGUAAGUAACUAUGCACGUCUUCACGGUACCUAAUCAGAAAGGCACGGCUACCUACUUG